AUUUCUAGAGAUAGAAAGUUACUUCGGUACAUCGGUGACAGGUGGUGCAUGGUUGUCGUCAGCUCGUGUCGUGAGAUGUUGGGUUAAGUCCCGCAACGAGCGCAACCCCUAUUGUUAGUUGCCAUCAUUCAGUUGGGCACUCUAGCGAGACUGCCGGUAAUAACCGGAGGAAGUGGGAUGACGUCAAAUCAUCAUGCCCCUUAUGACCUGGCUACACACGUGCUACAAUGGUUGGUACAACGAGUUGCGAGUCGGUGACGGCGAGCUAAUCUCUUAAAGCCAAUCUCAGUUCGGAUUGUAGGCUGCAACUCGCCUACAUGAAGUCGGAAUCGCUAGUAAUCGCGGAUCAGCACGCCGCGGUGAAUACGUUCCCGGGCCUU
rnacentral:rRNA from 1 species